rnacentral:rRNA from 1 species
UACGUAGGGUGCGAGCGUUAAUCGGAAUUACUGGGCGUAAAGCGUGCGCAGGCGGUUCGCUGUGUCCGUUGUGAAAGCCCUGGGCUCAACCUGGGAAUGGCAGUGGAUACUGGAAAGCUAGAGUGCGGUAGAGGGUAGUGGAAUUCCCGGUGUAGCAGUGAAAUGCGUAGAGAUCGGGAGGAACACCAGUGGCGAAGGCGGCUACCUGGACCAGCACUGACACUGAGGCACGAAAGCGUGGGGAGCAAACAGG